rnacentral:rRNA from 1 species
AAACCUCCGCAAUGUGAGAAAUCGCGACGGGGGGAUCCCAAGUGCCAUUCUUAACGGGAUGGCUUUUCAUUAGUGUAAAGAGCUUUUGGAAUAAGGGCUGGGCAAGACCGGUGCCAGCCGCCGCGGUAACACCGGCAGCUCUAGUGGUGGCAGUUUUUAUUGGGCCUAAAGCGUCCGUAGCCGGUUUAAUAAGUCUCUGGUGAAAUCCUGCAGCUUAACUGUGGGAAUUGCCGGAGAUACUAUUAGACUUGAGACCGGGAGAGGUUAGAGGUACUCCCAGGGUAGAGGUGAAAUUCUGUAAUCCUGGGAGGACCGCCUGUUGCGAAGGCGUCUAACUGGAACGGUUCUGACGGUGAGGGACGAAAGUUAGGGGCGCGAACCGGAUUAGAUACCCGGGUAGUCCUAACUGUAAACGAUGCGGACUUGGUGUUGGGGUGGCUUUGAGCUGCUUCAGUGCCGAAGGGAGCUGUUAAGUCCGCCGCCUGGGAAGUACGGUCGCAAGACUGAAACUUAAAGGAAUU